ACAAGUGUGUGUGUGUGCGCGCAUGGGCACACCACACACACGCAUACAUCGACACACGAGCAAACAACACGUGCACGACUACUUGACGCUAGAGAUAGAUCGGCUAAGACUUACAUUGUCUUUUGAUGCAGGGCGACUGAAAAAGGGCGUAGCCAUGGAUGUGCGAGAGGAGCUGGCGCAGCUCUACCGCACCUACAACCCACGGCGCCUCAAGGAUAUCGAGGAGAUUGCGGAGCGCUUCAAAGGGCGCGAGCACGCCAUGAUGACGGCACUGCGAGAGAAGUACGCUCGCCACGGUGUGUCGACCGACUCAUCGUUCGCUGGCGGCUCCGCUGUGUCGUGGGCAGAGGUGCUGCCGCGGCAGACGACUUCUCGAACAGUCGAAGCAGCAGCUGCUGCACCUGCUGCAGUGGACGAGACGGAUUCGUCGACACCCGCUCCCGCUCCUUCGCCGUCUCGAACUGCUGAUGCGCCAUGCGCAGAGAGCGCAUCUGGUGACGCGGCGCCUGCGGCGGCAUUUAGAGCUCUCAUCACUCCCUCAUGCAGCGGCAGCCCUGCGACGGAGCACUCCACUACGGCCACCGCCGUUGCCGCUGCUGCAGCGCGCCACCAACGCCACCGCGAAAUGGUGCAGUUGAUUGAUCAGCUGCGCUCUGUCGACGUUGGACGGCUGGCCGAGCGCAUGGCGAUGCUGUCCGCGCCCGCGCCGUCACCGGCGUCGCGAACUCCGCGGCUACCGUGGCGUCAGAGCCGUGAGGCGUCGGCGCUCGAGGUGGACAACGACCGAAAUGAUGGCAGAUACAACAACAGCAUCAACAGCAGGGAGCUAGCCGAGCUGCUGCGACACACCGCCGUCUUCUUGAACUUCUUCUCUCAGUGCGCCAGCCGAUUUCUGCUGCUUGCAGAGGAGGAGGAGCAUCUGGCAGACGCAGCGUUGACGACGUCCGAGGGCCCAUUGCCGUCACGGGCGCCUCCCCAGUCGCAGGAGCGCCGAGCUGCCGUCGAUGUGCCGCAGCGACCGCCGCACCACGGCAACCACACUACCUGCGGCAGGAAGGACAACGCCGAGCAGAUGCGACGUGGCGCCGGCGGGCCUCCCCACGGCAGCGGUAGCCACGGGCAUAAUCGCUGGUGUGGUGGCAGCAGUCAUGGCGGCAACGCUGAGCGCGCGGCGCGCGGCAUUGACAUCAGUGCCUCCUCGUCGAAGACCCAUAUGGAGCACCCGGCCACGAUCGUGCCCGUCCCGGUGCACUGUGCAGCGUCUUCCCCAACACCGUCUGCUGCCGCCGCCGCUCCUGUCCACAGUCGCGAUGUGGACCACGCCGAUGCAACGGUCUCCAGCCACCAUCGGCGCUCUUCAUGUGUGCGAGGCAUCCGCCAGCUUCCCUUGUUUUCCACCUUGCCCUUGCGAUCGUCGUCCGCCUCUCCUCCUCCGCGGGCGGCAUGGCGGGACGGGGAGCGCGUGACUGGCGUUGGUGAUCGCGGCGGCGGAAGCCGCUCUCCGACGUACCGCACGACGACCGUCUCGCCACUGACGUCGCCAAAGGGCAGGCGCAGCGGGCACUCGCCCCACACGCCGUCCCAGCCGCGCUAUAGCAGAGGAGGAGCGGUGCCGCGUGCGUCAGCUGCGGCCACGACGAUGAGGACGCCUGCUGGCCAACGCAGCUCUUCCUCACCUCUCGCACGCUCUCCCGCUGCCACGCCACCGCGGCCCCCGACCUCUCCGCCCAUGCACGGUGGUGCACUGGUCUUGCGAUCGCCGCCGUCGCCGCUCGCACGCAGGCGAGUGCACACGUGGACGCCGUCUUCUCAGUCCAACCGUUACACCGCCGCGUGCGCGGCUCUGCGAAGUGGCGACUGCGUCGUGCUGCAGCCUGGCGUGUACUAUGAGGAGCUGGUGCUGGAGGGCUGCGGACACGUGGAGCUGACGAGCGCGUACCCGGGCGCCGCGGUGGUGCUGCGGCCUUCCUCGGACUUGGCGCCGGCGCUCCGCAUCCGCGGCGCCUACAGUCGGGUGGAGUUGAAAGGCAUCGUGCUCGUGCAGGGAGAUUGGGCGGAGGCGGAGGCCGCUGCACGGGUGGGCGCCGCAGCUUCCGUUGCCCCGCGUUCCUCGUUCUCCACCGCACCCCCACUGCCGCUGCUCUCGGUGAGCGACGGCGCAGCACUGCAGGCGACGGCUUGCCACUUCUACGGUGGCGCUGGCGGCGGCGUCGUCAUUGCCGGGCCGCACACGCACGCCACGCUGGACCUGUGCCUCAUCUCGCUCUGCGGCUUCGCAGGCAUCUACGUGCACCAUGGCGCCAGCGUCGAGGUGCGGCAGUCCAAGGUGAAGAAGAGCGAGGCGGGACUGCGUGUGUUGCAGUCCUCCUUCUACGUGCACGAGUCGACGCUGGAGGAGAACAAGACGGACGGCGUCGUCGUCUACGAGGGUGGCGUGGGCAUUCUGGAGGGGUCGAGCGUCAUGAACAACGGCGGCAACGGGCUCUUCCUCGAGGGCGGCGCCGGGGAGGAGGUGCGGGUGAUCGCCUCGACGAUAGAGUUGAACGCCCUCUACGGGGUACAUCGCUUCCGCGGGUCGACAUUGCACAUCCGCUCCUCCUACAUCCGCGACAACGGCCUGCUGCCCAUCAGCGAGGACGGCGGCUGAAGGUGAGGCAGCGGCGCUCCACGGCGGUGGUGUUUCACGUGUAUGUCUGUUGCUGCGCCGUGGAAGCGCGCGCGCGUGUAGGUGUGUGCCUGUAUCACUGCCGCUACUCCUGCCCAGACUCUCCGCCGCUGGCCUCCCUCUCCCCGGCCAAUGAAGCCAGUAGCAAGAGCGAGCCCGGGUAGCGGGGAGGAGGUUCGGGGUGACGUCAUGCACGUAAAUCACCCACUGGAUGGCGCCGCAGGGUGGGAGUUGGGGGGAGGGUGGGGGAAGAGAUGCCCGCGCAAGCGGAGCACACGGUCUUCAGACACGCACACGCAUACGUAAAACGCGUAUCAGCGCGCACCGAUACAUCUGCUACACACGUUGCCAUGCACAUACGGUGAGCGUUGUGCCCGAGCAUAUUCCAUCAGGGCACCGCUUCGCACGCGCACGCACGACGACCACAACGAAAAGACAAGGGCGGGGGCGAUGGAAAGGGGAACGCUAACCCACUUCAGGGCCGCUGCCUGCCGCCUUGCCCAUGACGACGGUGGGUGCGCUGCAUCACGCGCCGCUGCUGGUCUUGAUAAUGCGUUACGUGAUCGUUUGCUGUGCUGCACGCCACCCCCCCCUCCCC
rnacentral:misc_RNA from 1 species